rnacentral:rRNA from 1 species
CCUACGGGAGGCAGCAGUGGGGAAUUUUGGACAAUGGGCGCAAGCCUGAUCCAGCCAUGCCGCGUGCGGGAAGAAGGCCUUCGGGUUGUAAACCGCUUUUGUCAGGGAAGAAAAGGUCCUGGUUAAUACCUGGGACUCAUGACGGUACCUGAAGAAUAAGCACCGGCUAACUACGUGCCAGCAGCCGCGGUAAUACGUAGGGUGCAAGCGUUAAUCGGAAUUACUGGGCGUAAAGCGUGCGCAGGCGGUUAUGCAAGACAGAUGUGAAAUCCCCGGGCUCAACCUGGGAACUGCAUUUGUGACUGCAUGGCUAGAGUACGGUAGAGGGGGAUGGAAUUCCGCGUGUAGCAGUGAAAUGCGUAGAUAUGCGGAGGAACACCGAUGGCGAAGGCAAUCCCCUGGACCUGUACUGACGCUCAUGCACGAAAGCGUGGGGAGCAAACAGGAUUAGAUACCCUGGUAGUCCACGCCCUAAACGAUGUCAACUGGUUGUUGGGAGGGUUUCUUCUCAGUAACGAAGCUAACGCGUGAAGUUGACCGCCUGGGGAGUACGGCCGCAAGGUUGAAACUUAAGGAAUUGACGG